rnacentral:misc_RNA from 1 species
UAUUUGAAGUCUGAACUACUUGAAUAUGGGUUCGGCGUGGUGCUGGGCCAAGCGGUCUUGUAAUUGCAGUAUGCUUAUUUGCCUUUCAUCUUCACCUGUUUUCUUUCACUACGCUUUUCACUUGCACAAUCCAGUUUUUUUCUGCUGUAAGAAUAUGUAAUAUUUAUGACAUGCAGUGAUGCUAUCUUAAAUACUUUAUUAACUUUGUUGCUUUGGGUCUUAUGUCGCAUCAAGUUG